CUAGUAUUUAUUUAUUUAUCAAAGCAAUCAUGCUAAACCUUGCCUAGAUGUAUAUUAUACGUAGUCCGGUAGGCUUCGGAAUAAUUUUUAACGCGACAACAUUUUACAACAAUCAUAACAAAUGAUUAUUGUUUUUUCAACGAAAGCGCAAUUCAUCGAUCUUCCCAAACUUCUUUCUCGACAUUAAUAUGCAUAUGAUGAACAUAUACUGUACUGAUGUUCAAAAAAUGUGCGUAAAAGAUUUCAUCUUCAUAAGACUGAUGUUAGUUGAAUAAACUUCGAUGUCGACUAAGACAUGAAAUCCUGGUAGCGCGUAUAAUGGCAAUCCACUUAUAUCCGGAGAAAAAUCUUCAAUUUCAUACACACCCGGAAGUCAAGAAAAAAAGAAAAUCACAAAUCGAGAGAAGCAGUAGCGCUAAUAGUUUCUAAUAUUUUUUUAAUUCGCCAUCACAUAUAUUUAUGUCCAUUGAUAUACCGGUUGGAACUUGGUAUUGACCAAAAGCACGUCCCCAUACUUUCAUUUUUAACUUGAAUAUAAGCAAUAGACUUAGUGAAAAGAAUCGCGCUCGUUUUUAAAUAUUUUGAAAUAUCACCCCUUACAAAAAUUUCAGAUGGAAGCUCGUGAAUGACGUCUACCCUAAUCCUCGUUGCAUUGACAGAGUCGGUAGAUAAUAGAAAUAUCAAAUCUAUCUUGUUCAAAAAAAUCUGGGUGCUAUAAACUGCUGACGGGAUGCAACUCUUCUUCCAAAGAUAGCAUUUCAUUUCGCGAGGAUAUGAACGUAACUUUCAUUGCAUGCCUCGACUCGAACGUGAUUUUUCAACUACCAAGCAGCGUGUAUGUAGCCUCGUUAACUUCACAUUGUACCACUCGUUAUGUUUACAAUGCGCCAAGUUCAUUCUAUUGUAUUACUUUUAACGAUUUAUUCACACAAGUUUUUUUUCAAAAACAAGUUUUUGUAAAUUUAUUAUAAAACGAAUUGUACAUCACAGUUUGUUAUAUAUAAAUGUACAUCAUUUUACAUUUGAGUGCUAUUAAAUAACAGAGUCAAAAGUUCGGGUUGCUGUAAAUUGCGCUUGUACUUUUGAACCAUAUCCUGGAUUCUUAGCCGUCUUCGAACGUGCGGCGGAUGAUAACUGCAAGUAAAAAAAUACAUUGAUUUUUAUGUAUGUA